rnacentral:rRNA from 1 species
GCUGGCGGCAGCUUUAAUACAUGCAAGUCGAGCGAGAAAGUUUCUUCGGAAAUGAGUAAAGCGGCGAACGGGUGAGUAACGCGUAGGAAUCUACCAUUCAGCGGGGGAUAGCUCGAGGAAACUCGAAUUAAUACCGCAUACACCCUACGGGGGAAAGAAGGCCUAUCCUUGGAAGCUUUCACUGUUUGAUGAGCCUGCGUGAGAUUAGUUUGUUGGUGAGGUAAUGGCUCACCAAGACUACGAUCUCUAGCUGGUCUGAGAGGACGAUCAGCCACACUGGGACUGAGACACGGCCCAGACUCCUACGGGAGGCAGCAGUAGAGAAUAUUGGACAAUGGGGGCAACCCUGAUCCAGGCAUGCCGCGUGUGUGAAGAAGGCCUUAGGGUUGUAAAGCACUUUAGGUAAGGAAGAAAAGUUAAUAGUUAAUACCUGUUGACCGUGACAUUACUUACAAAAUAAGGACCGGCUAACUCCGUGCCAGCAGCCGCGGUAAUACGGAGGGUCCAAGCGUUAAUCGGAAUUACUGGGCGUAAAGCGCGCGUAGGCGGUAUGCUAAGUUGGGUGUGAAAUCCCCGGGCUUAACCUGGGAACUGCAUUCAAAACUUGCAUACUGGAGUACGGAAGAGGCGAGUAGAAUUCAUGGUGUAGCGGUGAAAUGCGUAGAUAUCAUGAGGAAUACCAAUGGCGAAGGCAACUCGCUGGUCCGUAACUGACGCUGAGGUGCGAAAGCGUGGGUAGCAAACAGGAUUAGAUACCCUGGUAGUCCACGCCGUAAACGAUGAGAACUAGCCGUUGGAUCCUUGAGAUUCAGUGGCACAGCUAACGCAUUAAGUUCUCCGCC